rnacentral:misc_RNA from 1 species
GAUGAAGAACGUAGUGAAAUGCGAUAACUAAUGUGAAUUGCAGAAUUCCGUGAAUCAUCGAAUCUUUGAACGCACAUUGCACCCCCCGGCAUUCCGGGGAGCAUGCCUGUUCGAGCGUCUCUUGGAAUACCCCUCACGCCGGCGGAGGCGUGGUCAUGGCGGCGGUGGCGUGCCCCGAGAGGGAGGCCACCGCGCUGGAAUCCAUGGGCGGACGCCUGCCGCGUGGCCGAGCGUGAUAAGACGCACUGGCGCUCGCGCGCGGCGAGGCUGCCGGCCCUGGCCCGCUCGUCGGGCGGGGACAGCAACACUUGGGAACUCCUCGAAUCAGGUAGGGAUACCCGCUGAACUUAAGCAUAUCAAUAAGCGGAGGA